rnacentral:rRNA from 1 species
GACGAACGCUGGCGGCGUGCCUAAUACAUGCAAGUCGAGCGGACUUGACAGAGCUUGCUCUGUUCAAGUUAGCGGCGGACGGGUGAGUAACACGUGGGCAACCUGCCCUGCAGAUUGGGAUAACUCCGGGAAACCGGGGCUAAUACCGAAUAACAUUGAAAACCUCAUGGUUUUCUUUUAAAAGGCGGCUUCGGCUGUCACUGCAGGAUGGGCCCGCGGCGCAUUAGCUAGUUGGUGAGGUAACGGCUCACCAAGGCAACGAUGCGUAGCCGACCUGGGAGGGUGAUCGGCCACACUGGGACUGAGACACGGCCCAGACUCCUACGGGAGGCAGCAGUAGGGAAUCUUCCGCAAUGGACGAAAGUCUGACGGAGCAACGCCGCGUGAGUGAAGAAGGUUUUCGGAUCGUAAAACUCUGUUGUUAGGGAAGAACAAGUAUCGGAGUAACUGCCGGUACCUUGACGGUACCUGACCAGAAAGCCACGGCUAACUACGUGCCAGCCGCCGCCGUAACAC